rnacentral:rRNA from 1 species
GACGAACGCUGGCGGCGUGCCUAAUACAUGCAAGUCGAACGCAGUGGGGACGGGUGAGUAACACGUGGGUAACCUCCCCAUCAGAGUGGCUCACACUUGGAAACCGGUGCUAAACCGAUAUUGAUGGAUUGACCCGCGGUGCAUUAGCUAGUUGGUGAGGUAACGGCUCACCAAGGCAACGAUGCAUAGACGACCUGAGAGGGUGAUCGGCCACACUGGGACUGAGACACGGCCCAGACUCCUACGGGAGGCAGCAGUAGGGAAUCUUCGGCAAUGGAAGAAAGUCUGACCGAGCAACGCCGCGUGAGUGAAGAAGGUUUUCGGAUCGUAAAACUCUGUUGUUAGAGAAGCGGUAUCUAACCAGAAAGCCACGGCUAACUACGUGCCAGCCGCCGCGGUAAUAC